CUAGGAAUAACUAAACAGGUUGAAAACGGAGUUGAUAAAUACUUCAUAAAGAAAAUAACUCUAACAUGCAUCCCUAUGAUGUUGUAAACAAAAUAGCAUAAGCAAAAAUAUAGGUAUUACAUGAUCAAUAAGUGUAACUUGCCUGGAUCAGAAAAGUUGUUGCGGUCGUCAACUCUCUGGCACUCGUCGCAAUCGCAAUCCGAAUAAUCUAACGCGAAGAACGAAACAACAAUAAAUGCAUAGUUCCAAACAUCUCUCAAAAUCCAAAUAUAACUCCAAAUGAUCUUCGGAUAAAGGAUGUAUCACAAGCAUACAAAAACAGAACCUAAACAUCAUCUAAGUAAUACCAUAGUAUUAACAAUUCAAGUUCUAAAGCCUAAGGUUAAGGUUAGUGUGGCUAAGUCUGAAAAUUCAGUAAUCUACAACUGUUAACAGAUAGCAACUAGGGUUGACAGGUAAAAGGUGCUAAAGUACAGAACAUGGCAUGAAACAUAUGCUACAGUACAGUACUAAGAUCAUACUAACUAACGCAGCAGGUUUCAGGUUAAAAUGAUAAAUAGAUCAAAAGUUAAUGGCUUGCAAAGGUGGCUAGUCAGAUUCUGACAGAUAAAGGUUGCUAACUUCGAGUGAAAAACUACUGGUGCUAAACUAUUCCAAUGACAGAGAACUAAACAAAAGAAUCCAAGAAUAUGAUCUACUCUUCCAAAUGGCACUGGUUUCACUAACUUUGGAGAGAUGAGGCAGUAGCUAUGAACAGGUGAAUGUGGCUACUCUAAAACAGAACAGUACGGGAUAUGAACUUCUACCGUCGUGUGAUGUGACCAGGUGGAGACGGCGGAGGUGAGGGAUGACAGGUGGACCCCACCUGUCAGUGUGAGAGAGAGAAGAGUUGAAAACGUAUUCCCCCGAGAAUACGCUUUCCUGCGGAGAAAGCGUAAUGCCAGAGAAAAAGAAAAAGAAUAAAAGAAAAAGAUUAUAAAAUACUUUUCAGGAUCUAUAAUUCACCCGAAAUUGCACUUAAAUCAUUUAAAAUAUCAAAUCGGAUCAGAAAAAUUCCAAAAAAUUCGGUAAAAUAAUAUAUCUCAUUCAGAGUCCAAGAAAAUUAUUCCCACUCAAAAAUAAGUUAAUAAAAAUAGUUUUAAUGUUUUUAAGCUUUAAAUAAAUCCAAAUAAAAUCCUAGAAUGCAUUUUUAAAUUCU
rnacentral:lncRNA from 1 species